CCUACGGGAGGCAGCAGUGAGGAAUAUUGGUCAAUGGCCGGAAGGCUGAACCAGCCAUGCCGCGUGAAGGUCAGUGCCCUAUGGGCGUUAAACUUCUUUUGUGCGGGAGCAAUAAUGGUCACGUGUGGCCAGACGAGAGUACCGUACGAAUAAGCAUCGGCUAACUCCGUGCCAGCAGCCGCGGUAAUACGGGGGAUGCAAGCGUUAUCCGGAUUUAUUGGGGUUAAAGGGUGCGUAGGCUGUGAGGUAAGUCAGCGGUGAAAUGCCCCCGCUCAACGGGGUGAAGUGCCAUUGAUACUGCCUUGCUGGAAGGCGGAUGCCGUGGGAGGAAUGUGUGGUGGAGCGGUGAAAUGCAUAGAUAUCACACAGAACACCGAUUGCGAAGGCAUCUCACGAAUCCGCGAUUGACGCUGAUGCACGAAAGCGUGGGUAUCAAACAGGAUUAGAUACCCUAGUAGUC
rnacentral:rRNA from 1 species